rnacentral:sRNA from 1 species
UGAUACCAGGGUCAAAAGGUCAGAAAUCCUUGCAAGAGGAUUUUUGAUCUCUUGACUCGCCAAAAACAUGAGUAAGUAGCCAUUUUUUGAAGAAAAAUGAGCGGAUUACGAAUGUUUUUGAAGAUUGCUGGAGUGCAAAGCACGUAGCAAUCUAGUAUCA